rnacentral:rRNA from 1 species
CGCCAGACUCCUACGGGAGGCAGCAGUGAGGAAUAUUGGUCAAUGGACGCAAGUCUGAACCAGCCAAGUAGCGUGCAGGGUGACGGCCCUCCGGGUUGUAAACUGCUUUUAGUUGGGAAUAAAAGGGGGCUCGUGAGCCCCGUAUUGUAUGUACCAUCAGAAAAAGGACCGGCUAAUUCCGUGCCAGCAGCCGCGGUAAUACGGAGGAUGCGAGCGUUAUCCGGAUUUAUUGGGUUUAAAGGGGGCGUAGGCGGGCCGGAAAGUCAGGGGAAAAAGCGCGGGGCUCACCCCCGGCGAGCCGUUGAAACUGGCGGGCUGGAGUUGGAGAGAAGUACGCGGAAUGCGCGGUGUAGCGGUGAAAUGCUUAGAUAUCGCGCAGAACCCCGAUUGCGAAGGCAGCGUACCGGCUCCACACUGACGCUGAGGCACGAAAGCGUGGGUAUCGAACAGGAUUAGAUACCCGAGUAAG